rnacentral:rRNA from 1 species
UGCCAGCCGCCGCGGUAAUACGGAGGGUGCAAGCGUUAAUCGGAAUUACUGGGCGUAAAGAGCACGUAGGCGGCUAUUUAAGUCGGAUGUGAAAUCCCCGGGCUCAACCUGGGAAUGGCAUUCGAUACUGGGUAGCUAGAAUCUGAGAGAGGGAAGCGGAAUUUCCGGUGUAGCGGUGAAAUGCAUAGAGAUCGGAAGGAACAUCAGUGGCGAAGGCGGCUUCCUGGAUCAAGAUUGACGCUGAGGUGCGAAAGCGUGGGUAGCAAACAGGAUUAGAUA